rnacentral:rRNA from 1 species
UACGUAGGGAGCAAGCGUUGUCCGGAAUCACUGGGCGUAAAGCGCACGUAGGCGGAUGUGUCAGUCAGGGGUGAAAUCCCGGAGCUCAACUUCGGAACUGCCUUUGAUACUGCAAAUCUCGAGUCCGGAAGAGGUGAGUGGAAUUCCUAGUGUAGAGGUGAAAUUCGUAGAUAUUAGGAAGAACACCAGUGGCGAAGGCGGCUCACUGGUCCGGUACUGACGCUGAGGUGCGAAAGCGUGGGGAGCAAACAGG